GCCCAACACGGUAGCUCAGUCGGUGGAGCAGGAGAUUCUUAAUCUCAGGGUCGAGGGUUCGAGCCCCAUGUUGGGCA